rnacentral:rRNA from 1 species
UACAGAGGUCUCAAGCGUUGUUCGGAUUCAUUGGGCGUAAAGGGUGCGUAGGCGGCGCGGUAAGUCGGGUGUGAAAUCUCGGGGCUUAACUCCGAAACUGCAUUCGAUACUGCCGUGCUUGAGGACUGGAGAGGAGAAUGGAAUUCCCGGUGUAGCGGUGAAAUGCGCAGAUAUCGGGAGGAACACCGGUGGCGAAGGCGGUUCUCUGGGCCUUACCCUGACGCUGAGGAGCGAAAGCGUGGGGAGCGAACAGG